rnacentral:pre_miRNA from 1 species
UUAACUUAAAUUUGUAUGGAGUUGGAACAGCGCCCCUAGCGGCAAACGUAGGUAAACUUUCCAACUCCAUACAAAUUUGAGUUA